UAAUGAUGUUUACAGCAAUUGUUCAUGACGAUUAUCUGUAUUAAUUAUGAUUAUAAUAAUUACUAUACUACAUGUAUUAUUAGCUUAAACAUUGACCUUAUUGGGAAUGCUUACUUCGGCAGGCUGAAGGGAAUGCGUGUCACUCUCAUGACCACUGCGACGCUCUCGAAUGCUGUGAAAAGGUCAGGGUCACAAAGAGAGGUGAAGGUCUCGGGAUAGUGCCGGGAUUCUGUACGAGACUUGCAGCAGAAGGAGAGACAUGCGCCCCGUACAGCCCUUGUUCGUGUCAAAAGGGUCUGACCUGUGAACCCGUGAAGUUUAAGGGUCAACAGCUUUACCAAGUUCGACAAAUUGGCAUCUGCAAGUCCAUCGUGUCUGACACUACGGAGUAGACCCCAAGAAGUAUUCAGAUAAGAAACUUAUCGUGUAUGAUUGUUUUAUUAGAAUUGUUCAAACACAAAAGAGAAAGUUCCACGUCCAAGCAACUGUACUUUUUACCAAAUAUAUACUAUUUUGAUUAGAGUCUUUCGGAUAGGCGGUCACGACGCCGUCAGCGUAAUAAAAGACGAAUGAUGUUAAUCAAUAAAACAA